AGUGAACGCUGGCGGUAGGCCUAACACAUGCAAGUCGAACGGCAGCACAGUAAGAGCUUGCUCUUACGGGUGGCGAGUGGCGGACGGGUGAGGUAUACAUCGGAAUCUACUUUUUCGUGGGGGAUAACGUAGGGAAACUUACGCUAAUACCGCAUACGACCUACGUGUGAAAGCAGGGGAUCUUCUGACCUUGCGCGAUUGUAUGAGCCUAUGUCGGAUUAGCUAGUUGGCGGGGUAAAGGCCCACCAAGGCGACGAUCCGUAGCUGGUCUGAGAGGAUGAUCAGACACACUGGAACUGAGACACGGUCCAGACUCCUACGGGAGGCAGCAGUGGAGAAUAUUGGACAAUGGGCGAAAGCCUGAUCCAGCCAUACCGCGUGGAUGAAGAAGGACUUCGGGUUGUAAAGCCCUUUUGUUGGGAAAGAAAAGAAGCAGGUUAAUACCCCGCUGUUCUGACGGUACCCAAAGAAUAAGCACCGGCUAACUUCGUG
rnacentral:rRNA from 1 species